AUUGAACGCUGGCGGCAUGCUUUACACAUGCAAGUCGAACGGUAACAGGCCGCAAGGUGCUGACGAGUGGCGAACGGGUGAGUAAUGCAUCGGAACGUGCCCAGUCGUGGGGGAUAACGCGGCGAAAGCUGCGCUAAUACCGCAUACGAUCUAUGGAUGAAAGCGGGGGACCGUAAGGCCUCGCGCGAUUGGAGCGGCCGAUGUCAGAUUAGGUAGUUGGUGGGGUAAAGGCUCACCAAGCCAACGAACUGUAGCUGGUCUGCGAGGACGACCAGGCACACUGAGACUGAGACACGGCCCAGACUCCUACGGGAGGCAGCAGUGGGGAAUUGUGGACAAUGGGCGCAAGCCUGAUCCUGCAAUGCCGCGUGCAGGAAGAAGGCCUUCGGGUUGUAAACUGCUUUUGUACGGAACGAAACGGUCCUGGUUAAUACCUGGGGCUAAUGACGGUACCGUAAGAAUAAGCACCGGCUAACUACGUGCCAGCCGCCGCGGUAAAAC
rnacentral:rRNA from 1 species